GGUUGCAUAGCUCAACUGGAUAGAGCAGCUGCCUUCUAAGCAGCAGGUUCGGGGUUCGAGUCCCUGUGCAAUCA
rnacentral:tRNA from 1 species